rnacentral:lncRNA from 1 species
CUAAGUAAAGACAUACAUUCAUUUAUUCAUUUCUCAGAUGUUGUCUAAUGCCUUCUGUGUGCCAGGUGCUGUUCUAGGCACUUGAAGAUACAAAGAGGAGCAAAACAGACAAAAACUCCUGCCCUCUUGGACCUCACUUGGUAAAGGGGAGACAGAGAGGAAACAGAAGAGACUGAAAAAUAUACAUCGUACAGUGGUGUCAGACGUUGGUAAGUGAAAGGAAGAAACAUCGAUUAGAAUAACUCCUCACCUUAGUGAGGAGGAUGCUAAGUUAGAUAAGAUUAUGAUGUGAUGUUUCUCUGAUCAGAUGACAAUUUAGUGGAGACCUCAACGAAGCAAGGGAACGAGACCUAUGGAUAUGUUGGGCGGUGUUUUUCAGGCAGGGAGCAGCUAGUGACAGAUCCUUGAGAAUGGAACACACCUGGAAGUUUCGAGCAAUGGCAAGUGCGCUGGCUAGAGCACCAAGACUGACCCGUCGAGUGGGUGAGGCAGUGAGGCCACAGGAUCUUACCAGAGGCGCUCAACAGUUUGGGUUGUCAAGACAAGUCAGGGGCAGCAACCAAUCAGCUCCUCGUAUUAAACAGCAUAUUUUGCUGAGCUGGAUUUGACUCCUGGUUGCUACAAAACAAAUCUAAGUUUAUAUCAGAGGUGACAAACUCCAUGCCCUGUCAUUUAUCCUUUUUAUAGCAUGGGCGACACCAAUGGUCAGCAAGUCUUGUUGAUGAGCAUGUGAAUCAAGUAGAGCAGAAAGCAUCCAAGUCUAGAGGUUUCCUCUGUCAAUAGGUAGAAAUCGUUUGUUUUAAUUAAAAGAGAACUAAUUUAAAAACAAAUUCCUCUGCUUUUGAUUACCCUAUAUAUUUUAAAAGAUACUUGUAAUCCCUGUAUGAACAGGGAUAACCACUGUUAAUACUGGAGUAUACAUUACUCUAGACACGAGCCUAAACAUAUGUAUAUAUUCACAUUUAUACAUGUAAUGAUUGCCAAGAGAAAAACAUAUUGAGAUUUUUACCGUGUAG